rnacentral:rRNA from 1 species
UACGGAGGGGGUUAGCGUUGUUCGGAAUUACUGGGCGUAAAGCGUACGUAGGCGGAUAUGUAAGUUAGAGGUGAAAUCCCAGGGCUCAACCCUGGAACUGCCUUUAAAACUGCAUGUCUUGAGAUCGAGAGAGGUGAGUGGAAUUCCAAGUGUAGAGGUGAAAUUCGUAGAUAUUUGGAGGAACACCAGUGGCGAAGGCGGCUCACUGGCUCGAUACUGACGCUGAGGUACGAAAGUGUGGGGAGCAAAC